rnacentral:rRNA from 1 species
AUUGAACGCUGGCGGCAUGCCUUACACAUGCAAGUCGAACGGCAGCACGGGUGCUUGCACCUGGUGGCGAGUGGCGAACGGGUGAGUAAUACAUCGGAACAUGUCCUGUAGUGGGGGAUAGCCCGGCGAAAGCCGGAUUAAUACCGCAUACGAUCUACGGAUGAAAGCGGGGGACCUUCGGGCCUCGCGCUAUAGGGUUGGCCGAUGGCUGAUUAGCUAGUUGGUGGGGUAAAGGCCUACCAAGGCGACGAUCAGUAGCUGGUCUGAGAGGAUGACCAGCCACACUGGGACUGAGACACGGCCCAGACUCCUACGGGAGGCAGCAGUGGGGAAUUUUGGACAAUGGGCGAAAGCCUGAUCCAGCAAUGCCGCGUGUGUGAAGAAGGCCUUCGGGUUGUAAAGCACUUUUGUCCGGAAAGAAAUCCUUGGCCCUAAUACGGUCGGGGGAUGACGGUACCGGAAGAAUAAGCACCGGCUAACUACGUG